ACACACACACACACACACACACACAUAUCCAAUCAUUAAUUAUAACAGCACAUGUCAUUAAUUAGGAUUUGCUACAUAAAAUGGUAUGAAGUGGUGCCCAACCGACUCCACAAUGGCUUAUUUGCUACUUCUUGACCAAGUUUUGAGAGAAGAGCAUGUAUCUAAAGAUCAAGCAGAUUUGUUUGCUUCCAGUGAUGAGUGGGUCUAAAGCCGUCUUUGAUUACCAAGGCAGAUUCUUCAAAACCUGUGUGCCAUUUUGGAGCCUCAAGACAAAAUGAUAUAAUCCCCCUCCACCUCAUCUGCAAGUACUCAUCACUAUCGGUUUCCUGGCUACUGAGACCUUCCGGAGAGAGAUUGGUGACAGGUCUGGCAUAUCUCUGCCCACUGUUCUCCAGGGAAUCAUCCACUUAACUCCACAGAACAUUCAGUUUCCAUAUACCGCUGCUGAGCAGACCCAGAUAAAAAGGGAUUUUUAUGCCAUUGCUGGACUGCCCAAUACUAUUGGAGCAAUCAGCUGUGCUCAUGUACGUGUUGAGGCACCAUCUCCAAAUCCUUUCCCCUUCCUCAAUAGAAAACAAUUCCAUUAAAUCAACUUCCAAAUAAUAUAUGAUGCACAGAAUAACAUUUUGAAUGUGGUGGCCCGCUGGCCAGGGGUAGCGCACAACUCUUUCACACUGCACAACAGUUAGGUGGUUAUGCGGUUUGAUUGAGGUGCUGCUGGAGAUGGGUGGCUUAUUGGUGAUUGGGGCUAUCCGCUACUACCAUGGCUUAUGACAUCACAUACUAACCAAGCAGGAGGUGGCCUAUAAACAGAAACUGAAGUGCACUUACCCAGUGGUGGAGCGCACUAUUGGUAUACUAAAAGGCUGGUGGCUAUGCCUAGACACAGCAGGUGGCAAGCUUUUAUACACACCUGAAAAAGUGUGCAAAAUAACCAUGGCCUGCUGUCUUCUGCACAAUAUGGUGUGCCCCCACCCCACCUGCCACCACCUGAAGACAUGGAGGUAGGACCUGACCAGAGACAUGUGACUUAUUUCACUUUUUUAACACGACCGACUCCGAGAUGAUCUCUGCUCAGGUGGAUCGUCUUGAUGGUCCAGGUGCACUCUGGGAGGUGGUUGGCGCACCAGUGCCAG